GACGGAGGGGGCUAGCGUUGUUCGGAAUUACUGGGCGUAAAGAGCGCGUAGGCGGUUUGGUAAGUUGGAAGUGAAAUCCCGGGGCUUAACCUCGGAAUUGCUUUCAAAACUGCCAAUCUAGAGUGUAGUAGGGGAUGAUGGAAUUCCUAGUGUAGAGGUGAAAUUCUUAGAUAUUAGGAGGAACACCGGUGGCGAAGGCGGUCAUCUGGGCUACAACUGACGCUGAUGCGCGAAAGCGUGGGGAGCAAACAGGAUUAGAUACCCUGGUAGUCCACGCUGUAAACGAUGAGUGCUAGAUAUCGGGAGAAUUUCUUUCGGUUUCGUAGCUAACGCGUUAAGCACUCCGCCUGGGGAGUACGGCCGCAAGGUUAAA
rnacentral:rRNA from 1 species